UGAGAGGUCCAGCCUGCCCUGUGACAUAGUUUAACGGCUGCGGUAUUUUGACCGUGCAAAGGUAGCGUAAUCACUUGUCUUUUAAAUGGAGACCUGUAUGAAUGGCAUCACGAGGGCUUAGCUGUCUCCCCUCUCCAGUCAAUGAACUUGACCUCCCCGUGCAGAGGCGGGGAUUAGUACAUAAGACGAGAAGACCCUGUGGAGCUUUAGAUCUAGAAUAAACCAUGUAAAACAAGCUGUAAUACCAGCAUAAACCAAUUGGUACCUAUUCAAAUGUCUUUGGUUGGGGCAACCGCGGAGAAAAAUUUAACCUCCAUGUGGACCGGGGGUACUACCCCUAGAACUCAGAACCACCAUUCCAAGAAACAGAACUUCUGACCCUUUGAUCCGGUAUAACCGCUCAACGAACCGAGUUACCCCAGGGAUAACAGCGCAAUCCCCUCUUAGAGACCCUAUCAACGAGGGGGUUUACGACCUCGAUGUUGGAUCAGGACAUCCUAAUGGUGCAACCGCUAUUAAGGGUUCGUUUGUUCAACG
rnacentral:rRNA from 1 species